UACGUAGGUGGCAAGCGUUGUCCGGAUUUACUGGGCGUAAAGGGCGCGUAGGCGGCGUGACAAGUCACUUGUGAAAUCUCUGGGCUUAACCCAGAACGGCCAAGUGAAACUGUUGUGCUAGAGUGCAGAAGGGGCAAUCGGAAUUCUCGGUGUAGCGGUGAAAUGCGUAGAUAUCGUUUGGAACGCCAAUGGUGAAAACAGGUCGCUGGGAGUGUGCUGACGCUGAGACACGAAAGCCAGGGGAGCGAACGGG
rnacentral:rRNA from 1 species